GCAGAAAAGGUAACAAGCCCACGGACAUCUGGGCCGAAUCGGGGUCGAACUGAGUACCGAAGCAGUAAAUAAGUCAAGUGCACCAGAAGCUGCAGCACAGCCGCCAUGUGUCCGCCCAAACAAGGCGAGCCGCACAAUGAAGAAGGCUGGAGUGGAAGGGAGAAGAUGGAGACGCUGGCUGGGAGUGUGGCGGCGGCGGCGGCGACCGGAGGCUCACCUACGGCCAGGUGCGGGAGAGCGCGCUCCGCCCGCACCGUCCUGCAGAUUCUGCUAUUUCAUUCGCUCCGUAAACAUUUGAAACUGCGCUCGAAAGCAACUCCAGAAGGAGCUAUGAUCUCUCUUCAUGGAGUUCCUUUUUAAAAGCACUAGGCUCUUUGGUUGUAUUGAUCUUCCCAGGAAAUGGCACGAGGAGUCCAUCUCUGCCAGCCUUUUGGGGCAUCUUUAAAAUCACUUAGAACAUCAUUUUUCCAGCUGGGAUCAAUGUGCACCCCCCCCGCCCCUGCAAUGCAGGGCCCUGGAGGGAAGGGGUAAUGGCGGCCCCAAGCCUGGGGCAAGCAAGCAGGGCGUGUGCUGGGGCGGUGCAGUUGCAGCAGAUGGUACGAGCGGAUUACGCAGUGAAGGCCCUGCAAGCAUGGUUGCAACUCGUGCAGAAUGGAGGUCUGCAUGCGUACGGCCCACCAGUGGCCCUCAUCCUCAGGGGUUAACCUUGAUUUCCGAUCCAGGGUGGGGGGAUGGAUUGUGAUCUAUCCAUCCCCUUUUGAACACAGAGCCCAAGCCAGAGAAUUUUGUGGACAGGACACCAGUGUCGUUCUGUUGGUGUUUUUUUUUUUUUUUUUUUUGGGUUUUGUUUGGUUGGAGAGAAUUGAGAGUUUGAUAUAAACCCCCACACCAGAAGAUUUACAUUUGAACCUUCUUUUACUCCAGGAAUGGGAAGGCAGUUUGGGUUUCACAAAUGUCGCUGCUCCUUUACUGAUUUCCAGCACUUUGCACCAGUUGUACCUACUAUGCAUGUCCUGUGCCUGGUAUCAAGGUCUAUAAUUUGUAAAUUGAACAAAUGUUCAAAGGUUUCCUGUUAUAGGUCUCAUUAAUGGCUGUUCAAUUGACUGUGACACAUUUGUCUCAAAGUUUUUUGAGAGAUGAGCCUUUGGCACAGUGGCCAUACAAGGGACUCUAUAAAUGAGAGAAUAGAUAUUUUCCUUAACAGGCUUUUAAAAGGAUUGCAGUUGUUAACUUUCAGUUAACUGCCAUGGUUGGAAGAAAGGACCAAUGGGAGCAGCUGGCAGAGAAAUUGUCUGAUUUUGGCUGUAAAAGUCAAGAUUUUUAGGCGCAGGUGGUUUUUGAAAUGUUCUGAAGAGGUUAAAAGUGUCAGUUGACAGUGUCUGUUCACUCGAGACCGGGGGUGGUGUGGAUGUCACAGAUUAGACUGGUGAGAGGUGUCUUUUUUCCGGGUUAUUGGGAUAACUAAUUCGGACUGCCGAACUGCUUGUGGAUGACUGCAGGCAGAUGAAUGACUUGCGACCUGAGUACAUAUUUGACUUUGCAUAAGGAAACACUUUUAUUCUGUUGGGAUGACAGUGGUACAUGCUCAAUGAUUUUUGAUCAGUGAUAUCGGUGGCCCUUACCCGUCUGUAGUUGAGGUAAACGGUGACCUUCUGUUAUCAGAUGUAACUGAUCAGAAACUCCUGUUUCAAGAUAGAGCCAAGAGCUAAAAAGCUCAGAUGUCUGAGAAAUACAGGAGUCCAACUGGAGGCAAAUACUGUUGUGCUCAUCUCUUCUGAAUCAAGUCAACAUGGGCAGGUCUUCCACACAGAAGAUUUGCUUCCCUGAAUAAAACCUACAUUAUGAAGCA
ensembl:lncRNA